CUGGCGGCGUGCUUAACACAUGCAAGUCGAACGAAGAGCGAUGGAAGCUUGCUUCUAUCAAUCUUAGUGGCGAACGGGUGAGUAACGCGUAAUCAACCUGCCCUUCAGAGGGGGACAACAGUUGGAAACGACUGCUAAUACCGCAUACGAUCUAAUCUCGGCAUCGAGGAUAGAUGAAAGGUGGCCUCUACAUGUAAGCUAUCACUGAAGGAGGGGAUUGCGUCUGAUUAGCUAGUUGGAGGGGUAACGGCCCACCAAGGCGAUGAUCAGUAGCCGGUCUGAGAGGAUGAACGGCCACAUUGGGACUGAGACACGGCCCAGACUCCUACGGGAGGCAGCAGUGGGGAAUCUUCCGCAAUGGACGAAAGUCUGACGGAGCAACGCCGCGUGAGCGAUGACGGCCUUCGGGUUGUAAAGCUCUGUUAAUCGGGACGAAAGGCCUUCUUGCGAAUAGUGAGAAGGAUUGACGGUACCGGAAUAGAAAGCCACGGCUAACUACGUGCCAGCAGCCGCGGU
rnacentral:rRNA from 1 species